rnacentral:rRNA from 1 species
AAAGCGUGCGCAGGCGGUUAUAUAAGACAGAUGUGAAAUCCCCGGGCUCAACCUGGGAACUGCAUUUGUGACUGUAUAGCUGGAGUACGGCAGAGGGGGAUGGAAUUCCGCGUGUAGCAGUGAAAUGCGUAGAUAUGCGGAGGAACACCGAUGGCGAAGGCAAUCCCCUGGGCCUGUACUGACGCUCAUGCACGAAAGCGUGGGGAGCAAACAGGAUUAGAUACCCGUGU